UACGUAGGGUGCAAGCGUUAAUCGGAAUUACUGGGCGUAAAGAGCUCGUAGGCGGCUUGUCGCGUCGACUGUGAAAACCCGUGGCUCAACCAUGUGGUCUGCAGUCGAUACGGGCAGACUUGAGUUCGGUAGGGGAGACUGGAAUUCCUGGUGUAGCGGUGAAAUGCGCAGAUAUCAGGAGGAACACCAAUAGCGAAGGCAGCUCGCUGGGACGGUAUUGACGCUAAGGCGCGAAAGCGUGGGAGCAACAGG
rnacentral:rRNA from 1 species